UUUGAGUUAAUUGCUUGAGUUAACUGCAAUUAAUCAACAGCCCUAGUAAGAUUACAACAGAAGUUUGGGUGUUGCAGGUAAACAUAUUGCAACAUUUAACAGAUAUAGAUCCUCCUUUAGUUUUAGUAUUCUUGUGACUCUUGUUUUGGUAGUCUAGUUUAAAGUGCACAGCAUUUUAUUCCCCUCAUAGUAUUGCAUAGAUGAAGGCUGCCAUUGUGAGGAAACUUAUAGUGAAAAGAACAAAAAUCAUGCACACAUAACAAGGUAACAAGGUCAUGGAUCUCAUUUUAAACACAGUUAGUUCACUUUUAGUACAAGUAACUGCAUAUGCCAUAAUAUCUCUUGCAUGUAGAAUUUUGCACACAGUCAAAUCUCUGAAAUUUUACAAAUCUUUAUUAUGGUGUGGAACUACUCAUGACCAGGACAGGGAAAAAGGUAGGUGAGUACUGCAACAGCAUCCAGGAGAAUACCACGGUGUGCACCUCCUGUAUGAAAUUAGUUGUGCAAGCUGAUGGAAGUGAUAGUGACUAUGGAUCUGUGGCCUUAGAUAAUGUAGCAUGUGAAGUGUAAGAGUAACUAUUAGAAAACUGACAGUUAAUGACUCGUGAGGGACACUGGUCUGCUUUAUUAGGCAUGGAUGCUGUUGAGACCUACUUUAUAAUCUUUAGGCUGACACUGAGUUGCUGUGAUUGUGGGCAGACUACUUAAACUUCCUGUGCCUGUUUCCCUAUCAAUAAAAUAAGAAUAGUAUUUUCUUACCGAUAAAGGUCUGAGGACUGGCUGUUUGCACACUGCAUCAUAAUUGUGAAAUGCUAUAAAACUAUUUGGUCCCUUCCUGUGUCCUACCUAUUUCUUUCCAUAGGUCUUUUGGUUUGGGAGGUAAUGGUAUAAAAGACACUAGAAGGAAUAAGGAGGUUUGUAGAGGGAAUGUGUAUCAGAAUUAUGAAAGUGCAUAAAUUAGCACCAGAGGACUUUAGAGUAAAAUGGAGAGAUUGAUAGGGGUCUAAACAAGACAUAAAAUAGUCUCCCUGGAGCCACGGGUUCAAAUUUAGGCAUGGAUUUAUAUUUUGGGUUGCAUUAAUUAGCGAUGUGAUGCUGAAAUAGCCUUGAGCUUCCUGGCUUUCAGAUGUUUAUGUAGAAGAUUUAAGACUUUUUUCCCUUCCCUUUUUAAAAAUUGUAUAUUUACAGCUUUCAAAAGGUAGAGUAAAGUUUGUCUGGGAAUCUCUGUACACUUUCAGUAGUGAGAUUGUUGAGGACCUAUAUUUGAAGUGUCUUAUCCUAACAAGCAUUUGUAAAAACAGAUAGAUCUAUAAAGGUACCAAUGAUCUAGAUAUUCUUUUCCCCCACCCAUGAAUAGCUGCGCUUGUCUUAUACAAGGACUGAAAAUUCAUCUACUGUUUUUGUUUGCACGAAAAGCAUCCCUAGAGCAAAGGACAGUUGUGGACCUGCCAUAAUGAGUUUUGUAAACUACCCCAGGAUUAAACAUCAAGUGAUUAUUUAUAGUAUUGUGAAGCUUGAAUGAUUCCUAGAGUCAUGGGAUUUAAAAUCAUUAUGGCUAAUAUCUCUCUUGCCCUGCUGAAUUCUGAUGAGUUUACCACAAACUAUUAAAGGAAUACUUGAUUCCAGCUGUCAGCUGGUAAAGCAUUACUCUCUAGAGGUUGAUAUGAUGCUAGAAGAUAAUAUGCAAACUGUGGAAAGUAUUUAGUUAACGGAAGGUAAGUGUAGGAUUUUUGGCAUAGCUUCCAAAGGAACUGAUAGUGUGUAAUCUUUUUAGCUGGGUACAGAUUAAUGUUUUGAAUGCAAAGCACCUUUCAUUAGGGUGUAUUUUAGCAUUUUUAGUUUGUUUUUUACAAACAACUAAAUAUAGUCAGUCCUGUGAGGUAUGUGUCGAAGAACGUGAACAUUUAUAUGCCCGGAAGUUAAAUAGAUUUUAAAUACUAUGGUAUUAGCAUGUUCAAAAACACUCAAGUAAGUUUCUCUUUCAUCUCAAUCUGCCUCCUGCAUGGCAGUGUGCUGGAAAGCCAAAUGGCAAGUUCCAUUCUAUUCAAGAAAAGCAUAAUAAUAUUUUAAAAAAGAAAAAUGUGCCCUUUUAAUCUGAUGUACUAUUUGCAGCAGUUUAGGUAAUCUUGUCUCCUUUUCUCAUUCAGAUAAAGCUUCACCAAGGCGGUUGCCGCGCAAAAGAGUACAGAAGAGAUCAGUGGGAUCUGAUGAGGACUGAGCAUCUGAGCCAAUGACAGAUGAACAAUACCUGCAAAUCACUUCACCACACUCAGUGUGAAACAGAGUCUAAGGUCUGAAACUCCCUCUACUGGCACUACUAUACUAUAAACUUCCCUGUAAAUGAAGUGUGAAGUAUUUUGACUCUCUUGUCUUGAUGUGGAAAGUAACUUUAGAAACAUCUGCUUCCCGUUUAACAGUGCUUGACUUACAAACUUAACAUAACUAGCCAGUAAAGAACAUUUUAAUUACCACAUUGCAGGAUCUAAAAGAUUAUUAA